rnacentral:rRNA from 1 species
CCGCCUACGGGGGGCAGCAGUGGGGAAUAUUGCACAAUGGGGGAAACCCUGAUGCAGCGACGCCGCGCGAGUGAAGAAGUAUCUCGGUACGUAAAGCUCUAUCAGCAGGGAAGAAAAUGACGGCACCUGACUAAGAAGCCCCGGCUAACUACGUGCCAGCAGCCGCGGUAAUACGUAUGGGGCAAGCGUUAUCCGGAUUUACUGGGUGUAAAGGGAGCGCAGGCGGCUUGGCAAGUCUGAUGUGAAAGGCUGGGGCUCAACCCCAGGACUGCAUUGGAAACUGUUAGGCUGGAGUGUCGUAGAGG